rnacentral:rRNA from 1 species
UAGGGAAUCUUCCGCAAUGGGCGAAAGCUUGACGGAGCAACGCCGCGUGAGUGAUGAAGGUCUUCGGAUCGUAAAACUCUGUUUUUAGGGAAGAACAAAUGUGUAAGUAACUAUGCACGUCUUGACGGUACCUAAUCAGAAAGCCACGGCUAACUACGUGCCAGCAGCCGCGGUAAUACGUAGGUGGCAAGCGUUAUCCGGAAUUAUUGGGCGUAAAGCGCGCGUAGGCGGUUUUUUAAGUCUGAUGUGAAAGCCCACGGCUCAACCGUGGAGGGUCAUUGGAAACUGGAAAACUUGAGUGCAGAAGAGGAAAGUGGAAUUCCAUGUGUAGCGGUGAAAUGCGCAGAGAUAUGGAGGAACACCAGUGGCGAAGGCGACUUUCUGGUCUGUAACUGACGCUGAUGUGCGAAAGCGUGGGGAUCAAACAGG